CAUUCUAUGGCCGAAUUGGUAAAGGCAUCGUCGAUCACGGCGAGGUUGCGGGUUCGAGUCCCGCCGGAACGA
rnacentral:tRNA from 1 species